UACGUAGGAGACGAACGUUAUCCGGAGUUACUGGGCGUAAAGGGCGUGCAGGCGGCUUGAUAAGUUCGGCGUGAAAUUUCCCGGCUUAACCGGGGGAUGUCGUCGGAGACUGUCGAGCUAGAGGGUGAUAGAGGCGUGUGGAAUUCCGGGUGUAGUGGUGAAAUGCGUAGAGAUCCGGAGGAACACCAGUGGCGAAGGCGACACGCUGGGUCAUACCUGACGCUAAAACGCGACAGGCAUGGGGAGCGGAACGGG
rnacentral:rRNA from 1 species